rnacentral:snRNA from 1 species
GGAUUUGAAGGAAAUUCGGUUGUGGUAUCUGCCACCUUGUUGUUCACUGAUAUUUUGACCGAUCCAGCUGGCUCGGCAUUCCCUCUUACUCCUCCAUGAACCUGAAUGCUUGUUUGAAGAGACAGAUCCGUUCUUUGGUAAAAAGCCAUGGUAGUGUAAUUGGAAACUUAAUUUAUGAAUUUUCUAAUUCAUUGAUUCCACACACACGAGCAACUGCUGUGUGCCAGGCUCUGUGCUAGGUACUAGAAAUUCCAUGGUGUAAAGAUAGCUGUGGUCCCUGGACUUCACAUCUAGCUGUCAGUUCUUCACUCUGGUAUGCAUACUCUGAAGCUAUAUACUCUGUAAUUCAUGCUCUUAAGCUUGUAUGCUGCUUUUAGGA